GGGGGGUUAGCUCAGUGGUAGAGCGUUUGCUUCGCAAGUAAAAGGACUCGAGUUCAAUCCUCGAAUUCUCCA
rnacentral:tRNA from 1 species